AUGCUUUCACAACUUGACUUCAAAAUAUUUGGUUUGGAGACCAUCAAAGAUCAAUAUGUGCAUGAUGCUGAUUUUAACGAUGUAUUGCAGAAUUGUAAAGAAGGAAGAACCUGGAACAAGUUUGUCGUUAAUGAUGGAUUUGUGUUCCGUGCUAACAAGCUAUGCAUUCCAGCUAGCUCUCUUCGUAUUUUGUUGUUGCAGGAGGCGCAUGGAGGAGGAUUAAUGGGACACUUUGGCGUGAAGAAGACGGAGGACGUACUUGCUACACAUUUCUUUUGGCCAAAGAUGAGACGGGAUGUUGAGCGGGCUGUUUUGAAGAAUAAUAAGAAAAUGUGGGAAGAAUGCUUGCCUCAUAUUGAGUUUGCUUAUAAUCGUUCAUUGCAUUCUACUACUAAGAUGUGUCCUUUUGAAAUUGUGUAUGGUUUCCUACCUCGUGCACCUAUUGAUUUGUUGCCUCUUCCAUCUUCGGAGAAGGUUAAUUUUGAUGCUAAACAACGUGCUGAAUUGAUCUUAAAAAUGCAUGAGUUAACUAAGGAAAACAUUGAGCGUAUGAAUGCUAAAUAUAAACUUGCUGGAGAUAAGGGUAGAAAACAUGUUGUGUUUGCACCUGGAGAUCUUGUUUGGUUACAUUUGCGUAAGGAUAGAUUUCCUGAUUUGCGCAAAUCAAAGCUAAUGCCACGUGCUGAUGGUCCUUUUAAGGUGUUAGAGAAAAUAAAUGAUAAUGCAUAUAAACUUGAGCUGCCUGCAGAUUUUGGGGUUAGUCCCACUUUUAAUAUUGCAGAUUUGAAGCCUUAUUUGGGUGAGGAAGAUGAGCUUCCGUCGAGGACGACUUCAUUUCAAGAAGGGGAGGAUGAUGAGGACAUCAAUACAAUUAUUACACCCACAGUCCCUGCUGCUAUACAUACUAGACCAAUUACUAUAGCUCGCGCACGCCAAUUAAAUUACCAGGAAACAGACCCUCGUGGUCAGGUUGAUCGUGCUCCGGCGUGGUCGAUAACCUUUCGGAGUUGGUUUAGCGAUUGCUAA
rnacentral:rRNA from 1 species